UGGAUUAGUGGCGGACGGGUGAGUAACGCGUGGAUAACCUGCCGUAUACAGGGGGAUAACACUUAGAAAUAGGUGCUAAUACCGCAUAAGCGCACGGUUCCGCAUGGAACAGUGUGAAAAACUCCGGUGGUAUACGAUGGAUCCGCGUCUGAUUAGCCAGUUGGCGGGGUAACGGCCCACCAAAGCGACGAUCAGUAGCCGGCCUGAGAGGGUGAACGGCCACAUUGGGACCGAGACACGGCCCAAACUCCUACGGGAGGCAGCAG
rnacentral:rRNA from 1 species